UACGAAGGGGGCUAGCGUUGCUCGGAAUCACUGGGCGUAAAGCGCACGUAGGCGGCUUCUUAAGUCAGGGGUGAAAUCCUGGAGCUCAACUCCAGAACUGCCUUUGAUACUGAGAGGCUUGAGUCCGGGAGAGGUGAGUGGAACUGCGAGUGUAGAGGUGAAAUUCGUAGAUAUUGCGAAGAACACCGGUGGCGAAGGCGGCGACCUGGUCCGAUACUGACGCUGAGGCGCGAAAGCGUGGGGAGCAAACAGG
rnacentral:rRNA from 1 species